rnacentral:rRNA from 1 species
UUUUAAUAAUUAAUUUAUUUAUUCUUAUUUAAUUUUAUUUAUUUAUUAGAAUUAUCUUUUUGUUUAGUAAGUUUUAUUGAAUAAUUUAGGUUUUAAUUAUAGUUUAUUAGUACUGUAAAGGAAUAUUAAUUAUUUUUUAAAAGCAUUCUUUAUUUGUUGUACCUUUUGUAUCAGGGUUUAUUAAAUUUGUAAUAUUUAAUUAUAUUAUUCCCGAAGUUUUGAGAUUUAAUUUUAAAUGGAAUAUUAUGUUUCAUAAUAAUUUUUAAUUUAAAGUUGGAAGUUAUAUGCUAUUCAUUCAUUAGAUAUCUGGUUUCUUAAUAAAUAAAUUUAAUUUAGGUUUAUUUUGGUUCAUUCUAUUUUUAUUUUUAUCUAAUUAAAAUAAGCUUAGUUUGUUGGGGAUUAGCUCAACUUACAUUUUAUAACUCUUGAUUUAUUUAUAAAUAUUUUAGUAGGCUUGAUAACAGCCAUUCUUAAUUCGUUAUAGUUUUUAUUUAUUAAUUUUUAAUUUAGUAUGUGUUUAAUUUAUUAUUAGGAUUUAGUUUUUAAUUUUGUUGACUAGUAAUUAUGAUGGGAUUAGUAGUUUUUUUUAUUUAAAUAUAGUAAUUCAGCAAAUUUUAUCUUCGCCUGUUUAACAAAAACAUGGCCUAUAGAUUUAUUAAUUUUAGGUCUGACCUGCCCAAUGAUGGAAAGUUUAAUGGCCGCAGUAUUUUAACUGUGCAAAGGUAGCAUAAUCAUUUGUCUCUUAAUUGGAGGCUUGUAUGAAAGGUUGGACGAGAGAUAUUCUUUCUUUAUUUAAUAUAAAUUAAUUUGAUUUUUCAGUUAAAAAGCUGAGAUCUUUUUGUGGGACGAGAAGACCCUAUAGAAUUUUAUUAUUUAUUCUUAUUUAUUUUAUUUUUGUUUUUAAUAUAUUACUUAAUUAUUAAUAAUUUGGUUGGGGUGAUUGUGAGAUUAAAUUAACUCUUAUUUACUUUUUGUCAUUAAUUAGUGUUUAUUUGAUCCUUUGUUAUGGAUUUCAAGAUUAAAUUACCUUAGGGAUAACAGCGUAAUUCUUUUGGAGAGUUCUUAUUAAUAAAAGGGUUUGCGACCUCGAUGUUGGAUUAAAGUAAGUACUUAGUGCAGUAGCUUUGUAACUGGGUCUGUUCGACCUUUAAUUCUUUACAUGAUCUGAGUUCAAAUCGGCGUGAGCCAGAUUGGUUUCUAUCUUCAAAUUUAUUUAAUUACUUUAGUACGAAAGGACCAAGUAUGUUGUAAUAUUUAUUUUUAUUUUGAUUAAUUUUA